UAAAACAAAUAUUAAAAAUUUAAAAUUGAUUUAGGGUUUAGGAAAAAAACAAAGGGCCCAAUACAAAUGUUGGGUCCAAUACACUGCAGUGGUGCAGCCCAGCCUACCCAAAAGGGCCAAAAUAGAGUCAAAAUUUUUGACUCGGUUUUUGUCACAAAACGCCACACUCAAUGUAAAAUGGCGUCCUUUUUUAGGUUAAAACAACGUCGUUUUAUGUGAUUUUGACUUAAGACAUCCCCAACCUUCAGGCAGUUCAUCACUUCAGUCUUCACUCCCUCUCUAACCCUAGCCGCACGAAGCCGCGAACCCAAGCAACAAGAUCCUCGGCCUUAGCCUCAACCCGUGGUUGUCGUUCACCCAAGCACAACUUGGAAGUUGGAAUGGCACUUGGAACAUUUAGUUUAUUUUGGUUCAUUUGUUGUUAUUGGAAACAUUUAAUUUGAUUGACACUUAGAAAAUGCUUGGUUUCUCUUGUUGUCAUAAUGAGAACUUAGAAAAUGUUUAUUGUAGUAGUUGGAAGGAAAUAUUAUUAUGAUGAAUGAUGUGCGUGGAUGUUUAUUGUAGUGAUUUUUAGUCUUUGUUAUGUUUUGUUCUGGGAUAAUGUUGGAGCAGAUGCUUAAUAAGACUUGUAGUGUAGUAGUCAA